rnacentral:rRNA from 1 species
CAGUAGCCACGGUAAUACGGAGGGAGCUAGCGUUGUUCGGAAUUACUGGGCGUAAAGCGCACGUAGGCGGCUACUCAAGUCGGGGGUGAAAGCCCGGGGCUCAACCCCGGAACUGCCCUCGAAACUAGGUAGCUAGAAUCUUGGAGAGGUCAGUGGAAUUCCGAGUGUAGAGGUGAAAUUCGUAGAUAUUCGGAAGAACACCAGUGGCGAAGGCGACUGACUGGACAAGUAUUGACGCUGAGGUGCGAAAGCGUGGGGAGCAAACAGGAUUAGAGACCCCUGUAGUCCCUGUCUCUUAUAC